rnacentral:miRNA from 1 species
AGAAUGACUGGUUUACUCUUU